rnacentral:lncRNA from 1 species
ACUCUCCAAAAUUUCCUUAUUGAGAAUUUCACUAUAAUCUAUUCUAGAUUAUAGUUCGAUUAUUUUACACGGAAUCACAAUCAACCCAGUUGAUGUUUUCAAAAAAUCAACCAAAGUCUACUCCGAUUGUUUUACUCAGGCUCACAAUCAAUCCAGGCAAUUUUUUAGGCCAAUCGACUGCAAUAUAGCUAUUUUACGGGUACAUCCAAACCUUGCAAACUAGUUGAUUUUCAUGGUGUUAGCCACACCAAAAAACCCCACAUGAGAUUUCUUAAUCUCGUACACAAAACAAGGAUAGAAAAAUACAUACAUGAUAACCUCUACAAAGGUUGGCUUGAUGCCAUUGAAGCUCAAUUUUGAUUGCUCUGAAAGUUGGGAUCUCAAUGAGUAGAGUUCAUCUCUUUUCUCUUCUUUUUCUUACUUGCUCUUGAUCUUGUGUUGGAAUUCAAUGAUUGGCAAUUGAAUCUCUCUCUUUAUGGAUGCUUUGAAGCUCACUUCAAAGUGAGAGGAGGAUUUAAAUGAUCAAUUCUCAUAUUGAUCCUCAAGUUGAAAUUCAAGAAGUGGUGUUCACUUAUAUUACUUUUUCUUUACUUUAUCCACUCAAUCUUUUUAAUCCCUCAUCUUCUCUAAUUCAAUUUGGAAGUAUUUAUAGCUUGAAAAAUUGUUGGAGAGUUAUUUCUAUCCAUUAGAGAGGAGAAACUAGCGGUUAGAAGCUAUUUUGAAUGUUCUAUGCUCGCCAAAAAACUAGUUGUUAAAGCUGUCACUGCAGAAUCCUGGGGUCGGCUCCUAAAAUUUUGGGGUCAUCUCGAGUCGACUCCUAAGAUGUUUGAAAGUGGUUGUCUUCUAUUUUUGACCUGUGGCUUUCUGCGUCGACUCUUAAAGCUCUGGGGUCGACUUCUCUACUACAAAAGCUUGUCCAACAGUUGAAAUAUACUCUAAUUCAAUCACCACCAAACUCUUAUAACUUUAUCUCUUUUUUAAUAUCCAAGACAGAUGCAUAAUAAAGGCAGUAGUGAGUCUUUUCAUAGUAAAGCCUUAAGGGCUCGUUUGGUUCGCAGGAAAAGAAGGAGGGAAAGUGUGGUCAACGGGAAAGUAAUGAAAUGCCUCUUGUUUGGUUGGAGUUUUCAAAGGAGAGAGAAGGAAAAGUUGUAUUCCCAUGGGAAUGUGAUUCCCACAUUUCAUGGGAAAGUCUUUCCCAUGAGAAACAUGGGAAAGUUACUUUCCCAUGAGGCGGGAAUCGCUCCAUUUUUACUUUUUCCCAAAAAGUCCCUUCAGC